CAGAAAUUGAUUUCCUUGCCUUAAUGCCCAGCUGCUCCUUUCCUCUUCUCCCAGUACACCCUGCUGAAGGCCUGGUUAUACACAGGUGGAUUUGCUUGCUUUUCUAAUACACUAUUUGCUCCGAAUAGCAGAGCUGAUGGCUGUAUCCUGCCUGUGUGUGUAAGAAAAGGACUGUAUGAUUCUACUGGUUGGUAUUAGGUGCAUCAGAUGAACCUUGUCACUUCUGACUCCUGCAGACACCCAUAGGAUUUGGCUGUCCUGUCACUGCUGCUGUCACCCUGUCUCUCUCCUGUCUUUUUUCAUUGGAAAACUGGUGUCACCAGACCACUGGAAAUGUCAGUUUGACAAAUCAGCCAGGUCCGAAGCUGAAAUGUCAGUCCUGGUUUCAUUGUCAGCGGUUGAACAUUGGCAGCCUUUCCUCUUCCUCAGCGUCACAGAACGUAAGGACAGGGUGAUUCAUGGCAGAGAACUAUUUGAUUUCCUACAUGUCAAUGCUUGCUGCUGGAUUGAGUUUGAUGACUUUCAUUUGAUUAACACAUCUUUCCAAAAGGUAUCCCACCUCAAUUUGAUGGCUUAGGAGACAGGAAAAUCCAUCACUUCUCCCCAUGAAAGUUCAGUGGAGUUUGUGCUUGCUCUGAAUGAUGAAAAGCCUUUCCAGAGGGCAGGCACAGCAAGCUGAGGGGUGGAGAGAGGCUGAUGUGAAGAGCUUUGUGCCAGCCGGGAGGUGCAGUACUAGCUCAGGGCAGUCGCAGUCAUUCUUUUAUUUUCCACAUACCACUUGUGAUUACUUCUGAUUUUUAUUUUUUUUCCUGUAAUUUUUAUCAUUGCACAGUGUUGGUUUUAAGCUCAGGUGGCUGAAGUGUGUGAUUACGAACAGGGAAGAAAAUUAAUGGGCACUAGGGCAGAAGAGGACUGUUCAGAGUGAGAGUUCUGUGUUUCCUUGUUUAGUGUCUUUGAUCCUAGUCUCCACUUCAUUCCAGGUGUUCAUCUCACAGAGGUGUCAGUGUAAAAGGCUGCACACGGUGACGAUCCCAGGAAGGUCAGGGAUCUAUAAGGCUGAUCUUUCUGACUUUAAACCUAAUAACUUUCUGGUUAGCUCUCUUCUGAGAUAUAGAUAUCUCAUAGCUCAGCCCUUUGCUUUAAAGACCUCAGCAGUACAAGGUUAACAUCGCUGGAUAUGACUGUCACUGUUAAGCUUCCUCUCUCAGGAGGUGGCAAUUGAGAGAAAGAGAGGACGGGGAGGAAAAAGAUUUCAAAUGGGAUGUCAGAUUCCUCGUGAAUCUGAGAUGAAGGUCAAUGCCUGAGAGUAAUGGAGGAUGGUGUUGAACUGCCCAUUUUGUAGGCUGAUCCCUUCUAUAAAUCUCUCUUGCCUGUAUGGAGAGGAGAGUCUUUGCAAUACCCAGAUAGAAGAUGAGAUGUUGAUUGCUGUCAGGAACUUCUGAUGGGGACUUGGGGACCUUUUUCCCCUGUAGCUGUGCGGCUGUCAUGUUUGAAGAGUUUCACUGCACCGUGGGGUUGGUGGCAUCUCCCUCCUGGUCUCUGGGAUUUUACUCAGGAUUCUUGCUGGGCUGUGGAGACCACAGGGUGAGGACUAACAGAAAUCCUGUGGGCUAAGUGCGUGGUCAUGUGCUGGGAACAGAUCAUCUGUGUGGGUGUCUCGGGGCUGCAAGUGGGUGGUUCAGCAGCUCGGACAGGACCCGAUGGCCAAGUGUGUGGCAGGGUCAGUGCAAGUUCUCUGUGCGCUUUAUUAUGGAGAAGAGGAGGCUAAGGGGGGGACCUUAUUAAUGUCUAUAAGUAUAUAAAAGGUGAGUGCCAUGAGAAUGGAGCCAGGCUCUUCUCGGUGGCCAACAAUGAUAGGACAAGGGGUAAUGGGAUCAAGCUGGAACACAAGAGGUUCCGCUUAAAUUUGAGAAGAAACUUCUUCUCAGUGAGGGUGACAGACACUGGAACAGGCUGCCCAGGGAGGUUGUGGAGUCUCCUUCCAUGGAGACAUCCAAAACCCACCUGAACAUGUUCCUGUGUGACCUCACCUGGGCGUUCCUGCUCUGGCAGGGGGAUUGGACUAGAUGAUCUUCUGAGGUCCCUUCCAAUCCCAAACAUACUGUGAUACUGUGCUGAUACGCACAGCACUUCCAUCCACAGCCUCCAGGGUGUUCAGAAAGUGAAUAGCAGUGGCAAAAACUGCUCUGAGCAGUAGGGUCUCUAGCACUGUGCUGUGAAACUGCCAAUCUGGCUAUUUCUGGAAUAUGUUCCCCUCCAAGUAGCAGCAUAUCCCAAGUGUGGCAGCACUCCCCCAAGAUGGACGGUCACCAUCCUCUCUGCUUGUGUAUCCCACAGCAGUGCCCCCCGCACCGAUAAACCUCCAGUUUGGCUGUGAGCACCAGAUACAACCCGUGUCUGUUGUCAUGGGCUGGAAGGCAGAUUCCCUCCUGCUCCUUGUGGGGAAAAGGAUGCCACAGGAGCUGAGAGUGUUUAAAACAGAACAACAGAAACCCUUUAAAACAUAACUUGUCUCUAGAUUAUUUUCUUUUUAAAUACAGCGCUCUUCUCACUGGCCAAGUGAAAAAUAUGUAUCAUUAAAGUUCAGCAGAAAUUCUCAGAAUUUUAUCUGCUAUGUACGCAACCCAAGUAUUGCAACAGCAGGAAACCGAGAGCACAACUGGCUUGUCAUUACAGGAGUUGAGAAAAAUAGAAACAGCAAAUAGUACUUCAGAAAUUAUGAGCAAAUAAGAUUAUUAUUCUUUCAGCCUUAAUCACUCAAAGUGCAAGUGGUACCAUAGGUAAGGAAAUUUCCCUUGGAUAUGAUUUUUAUUGACAGAGCUCUCCUACCAAUUGUCUUCUCUAAUCUAUUUGGUUUUUAACUUUAACAAGAUGUGGAAGCUGAUAGACCUGUUCCAGCCCUGUGUCCUGCCACCAUUAGUCCAACAUUUUGUGUGGUGCCACUGGGGACAGGUUUACUUCAAAUGGGCAAACAAAUGCAGCUCAGCUGGACUCCUGGGCAGCUCUAAUUUGCACAAUCUACUCAGUUCACAGCCUCAAGCCACAUCACUGCUCAGGCAGCCUCACGUAAAGAGCUGGAGUAACUUCAGUUGGCCAGGAAGCAAAUGAAUCACAGUGAAAGUCCUCGGUGUUGUCACUGUGCUCAGAUAUCGCUGCUGGGCUCUCGCAGGAGGGUUCUCUGAAUGCUGGUGCUAGGAGACUGUUCCCAGGAGGCAGCACAUUCCGCCACUGAAAAAGGGUUAAUGCUCAUUCUGUGAAUUCUCCUCAGUGUUCGCUGCUGCUAGACUUCGGUUUUCACUUGCACCGUUUUCUGGAAGCCAAAGGGAAUUUUUUUUAUUUUUUCAGUACCAUCGAGAACAAGAAUAGAAACUUUGCAAUAAGCUCAGAAUGUUCUUUGGCUCAGCGCAUGGGAAAGAGGUUUGGGGUUGGAUUUCCUAUUACUUCACACUUACUCCUGCCUGCGAGCAGGCUGUCAUAUCACCUUCCCUCACUGCCAGGAGCCAGGAAGACUCUGAACUCCAGUGUCAUCUGCUCAAAGACACACUUCAUACCAUGGAGGGCUGCUACGAUGACAGGAAGAAACAACUGAAGCAGCUUUUCAAGAAUCUUCCUGCACAGCAGAAAGUGUGAUGCUGAGCCUGAGCUUGGGAUGGGAGGGAUCAUGGUGGAUGAAGGUCACUCACUCUUCCUCAUCACGUGCAGUGACAGCUCCCACAGCUCUCUGGACACUGCUGGCUCAGCACGAGGCGCUGGCCACCGGCUUCUGAAGAUUUCCCAGCUUCGAAACUGCAAUAAGUUGGAAUGAAAUAUUUCACAGUGGCUGACACAUGCUGGCUUCUCAGCUGUCUGUGCUCACGUAGCUCAGCUCUGUACUGUGUGAGAAAAUAACGGGGCUAAACACCUUCUGCACACAAAGCUUUUGGGGAAGGCAAGCACCCAAUCCUCCUGCUGCUGCUACUGUGGGAAUGUGCCAGAGCAGAAAACCUGUUGCCAUGAUACUAAAAAUCAUCUCGCUGUCACAUUAUGGAGACAUUGGCUGUACUACACGGGUUACGUAAAAGUGCAGCUCCAGCACCAGGACUUGGUGCUGAACUGCCACUCGCUUCCAGGAGAGAUGCAAUUUCUGAAAAAGCUGCAGGCGUGACAGUUCAGGUAGUGACUCCAUGUUAUUUUUAAUCUCUCUCUAAAACUGAAGUCUGAAGCGGACAGUCUGGCUGCUGGCAGAUGUACAUUCAGAGUACGCAGCCUUAGCUACAGAAUUUUAAAACUUGGAUCAGGUGAUGGCAGUUGGCUUUUUAGAUUUAAAGCAAUCACACCUCAGUUCUAAGGAGUCUGAAACAGGGUGUUUUUUGGAACUCUCCAUAAUUUGAAGCAUGUGUGAGACUGGAUCGGGCAGCACUGUGUGGCUGGGAGGUGAUGGGGACCGGGGGAUGCUGGGGCCAUGUCUGAUGCUCCGCAGGGAGGGCUGGGCUGAGGCCCUGCUCUGCAUUAGGUUCCGCAGGCGGGUCAGCUGCCUCGAGAGCUGGAGAAAGGACAACUGCUCUGUUUAAAGUUUUUAAAUGCUAUCCAGAAAUAUGUCUAGAGAAGUUCAAAAACCAAAGGGCUUCUCAGGACCUGAGCACAGGAAAAAAAAAUCAAGCUCUCUGUAGUCCAUUACUAAUUGUGAUUUAUUAUUAUUAUUAUUAUUUUAUUUUUAAAUCUUAUAAGUCUUAACUGAGUUGUGCUGGGGUAGCAAGUUCAGACUAAAGAGGGUAGUGUAGAAGACAAUGAAUGUAAAAACCCUUGAGGAAACCAUUACUGGUUAAAUCAAUUGUCCUUUUGUUAUGAGGCAGGCUCAGUGGUUAUUCCUGCUCAGCCCUCUUCAGGCUGCUUUUUCAAACUAUACAUAUAUUUUAUCCCUUCAUC